rnacentral:rRNA from 1 species
UCCGCCGAAAGGCGGACUAAUACCGCAUGUGAUCUUCGGAUUAAAGCUUCGGCGGUUUGGGAGCAGCCUGCGUAAGAUUAGCUAGUUGGUAAGGUAAUGGCUUACCAAGGCGACGAUCUUUAGCUGGUCUGAGAGGAUGAUCAGCCUGACUGGAACUGAGACACGGUCCAGACUCCUACGGGAGGCAGCAGUAGGGAAUUUUCCACAAUGGGCGAAAGCCUGAUGGAGCAACGCCGCGUGCAGGAUGAAGGCUUUCGGGUCGUAAACUGCUUUUAUCUGUGAUGAAUUUGACAGUAACAGAAGAAUAAGGAUCGGCUAACUACGUGCCAGCAGCCGCGGUCAUACGUAGGAUCCAAGCAUUAUCCGGAAUUACUGGGCGUAAAGAGUUGCGUAGGUGGCAUUGUAAGCGGGGCAUGAAAUCGUGUGGCUCAACCAUACGGCUAUGUUCUGAACUGCAAAGCUAGAGGACGAGAGAGGUCACUGGAAUUCCAAGUGUAGGAGUGAAAUCCGUAGAUAUUUGGAGGAACACCGAUGGCGUAGGCAGGUGACUGGCUCGUUCCUGACACUCAGGCACGAAAGCGUGGGGAGCAAACGGGAUUAGAUACCCCGGUAGUCCACGCCGUAAACGAUGGGUGCUAGCUGUGAAUCGUAUCGACCCGAUUCGUAGCGAAGCUAACGCGUUAAGCGUCCCGCCUGUGGAGUACGGUCGCAAGACUAAAACAUAAAGGAAUUGACGGGGACCCGCACAAGCGGUGGAGUGUGUUGUUUAAUUCGAGGGUAAGCGAAGAACCUUACCCAGGCUUGACAUCCCGAGAAGUUUGCCGAAAGGCAAA